rnacentral:rRNA from 1 species
AGAGUUUGAUCAUGGCUCAGGACGAACGCUGGCGGCGCGCUUAACACAUGCAAGUCGAGCGAGAACCAGUCCUUCGGGGCUGGGGACAGCGGCGAACGGGUGAGUAACACGUGGGUAAUCUGCCCUCGGCACCGGAAUAGCCCGGGGAAACCCGGAUUAAUGCCGGAUGGCCUCUCUGCCCUACGGGGCGGCGAGAAAAGGUAGCUUUGGCCUCCGGCCGAGGAUGAGCCCGCGGCCGAUUAGCUUGUUGGUGAGGUAACGGCUCACCAAGGCGACGAUCGGUAGCUGGUCUGAGAGGACGAUCAGCCACACUGGGACUGAGACACGGCCCAGACUCCUACGGGAGGCAGCAGUGGGGAAUCUUGCGCAAUGGGCGAAAGCCUGACGCAGCGACGCCGCGUGCGGGAAGAAGGCCUUCGGGUUGUAAACCGCUUUCAGGAGGGACGAAGCCACUCAGGUUAAUAGCCGAGAGGGUGACGGUACCUCCAGAAGAAGCCCCGGCUAACUACGUGCCAGCAGCCGCGGUA